AGAGGAAGUAAAAGUCGUAACAAGGUUUCCGUAGGUGAACCUGCGGAAGGAUCAUUAUUGAAAUAAACCUGAUGGGUUGCUGCUGGCUCUCUCGGGAGCAUGUGCACACUUGUCAUCUUUAUAUCUCCACCUGUGCACCUUUUGUAGAUCUGGAUAUCUUUCUGAAUGCCUGCAUUCAGGUUUGAGGAUUGACUUGUCUUUCCUUACAUUUCCAGGCCUAUGUUUCUUCAUAUACACCAUGUAUGUUAUAGAAUGUAAUGAAAAGGGCCUUUGUGCCUACAAACUUAUACAACUUUCAGCAACGGAUCUCUUGGCUCUCGCAUCGAUGAAGAACGCAGCGAAAUGCGAUAAGUAAUGUGAAUUGCAGAAUUCAGUGAAUCAUCGAAUCUUUGAACGCACCUUGCGCUCCUUGGUAUUCCGAGGAGCAUGCCUGUUUGAGUGUCAUUAAUAUAUCAACCUCCUCAGGUUUUUACUUGUCGAGUGUUUGGAUGUGGGGGUUUUUUUUGCUGGUCUCUNUUGAGAUCGGCUCCCCUGAAAUGCAUUAGCGGAACAAUUUGUUGACCCGUUCAUUGGUGUGAUAACUAUCUACGCUAUUGACGUGAAGCAGGUUCAGCUUCUAACAGUCCAUUAACUUGGACAAAUUUUCAUUAAUGUGACCUCAAAUCAGGUAGGACUACCCGCUGAACUUAAGCAUAUCAAUAAGCGGAGGAAAAGAAACUAACAAGGAUUCCCCUAGUAACUGCGAGUGAAGCGGGAAAAGCUCAAAUUUAAAAUCUGNCAGUCUUUGGCUGUCCGAGUUGUAAUCUAGAGAAGUGUUAUCCGCGCU
rnacentral:rRNA from 1 species